GGAUGGGGUGCUAGUGCGCAGGCGCAGGGCGCGCGGCAAGUACCGCGUGCUCUUCUAAUCUCCCGCUGGCCUGGGCCGUGAGCCAGGGGCUGGGGCUUGGUUUAGCGGGCAGCCCAGGCUGGGAGGGUGCUCGGCUCUGGUGGGAAGGGGCGCCCUUGGAGACAGGGCUAGGGUGUCAGCCUGAGGGUCAGUGCAGUGCCCUCCUUAGCAGGCCCGGCUCACUCUCCACCCGCGAGGGAGCCUGGGCCACUGAACGGAAAGGACGAUAGAAGUCGUGGGCAGAAGGAGAGCAAGCAAGAGGGAGCCCCAUACGGGGGCCUGUUGAUGAGGGGGUUCGGGUCCCUUUUGCCAAUACUAUUCGGGUCCCUCCUGACCCUAUAGCUACUAUGAAACUAUUGUCAGGGGCCUAAAAGGAGUCCCAAACAGGCGGGGUUACGAUGGAGGCAUCUGAAUUGCAGUUGUAAGCCAAGGGGUCAGGGAUAAGAAGCAAGGAUCCACACAGGAGCCCCAAGCCAAGGGGUUAGGGCAGGGCAGGACCUGGCAAGGAUUCAGGCUGGAGCCAGACAGGGGCAUCUGUGAUAGACAAUUGCUGCUUACGUGCCUGCAGACACCCCCUUGCAGGUCACUAGGACCAGCUGCAGUGGACAUUUGCUGAUAUUUUGAAAAACUGCCUGGAUGGAGAUGGGAGGACCCAAAAAGAGGACAUAUCUGGCAAAACCCAGACAUACUUUAACCCUAGGUAAAGUGAAAGAAACAGAGUUAUCUGUCGAACCACGUAUAUCAACGCCAGCAAGGAAUGAAGGUGGAGAUAAAAAUACAGCACUUGGGAACAGGAAACAGGACCACAUUGAAAUGGUACUGCAAGAUGGACAUUUGCUUUGUUUCUUUUUCCUAUACCUAAUAAGGUAAAAGAAGAGGUCAAUGGAUCUGCUUGUAGAUAUUAUGAAUCUGAAUACACAUGCUGUCCUAGAACUGAAAGACAAAUGCACACUAUUAUGGUCUAAUCUUCUAGACUGGAUAGGCAAUUGUGGACUGAUGGCAGAUGCUCCAUAAUCAAAGUUGCAGGACUCUACCACAAAACUGUCACUGGGAUCCUGAAAAUUGAAAAAUAAGCAAAUCAGCUUAAUAAUAUGGCUUUCCCUUGGUGCCUCAUCUCCUGAAGGUCUCUUCCCACCUUCUUCCUGUCUGAAGAAACUGAAACUGGAAGGCUUCAUAACCCUGCCCUUCUCAUAGAGCCAUUUUUACCUUCCUACCAGUCAGCAGGCAGUACAGUGACUGCUUGAAGUUUAAAACACUUUGUCAUUGUCCCUUAAAAAAUGGAAAUAGUGCUGCUGCUUAGUUGCUGGACAUUCCAUAAUUUAUGGCCACUGAGAAUGCAAAAUGAUUGGUAUGUCUGGGUGACAGUCAGGAGCUAUGGAAAGGAUGAAGUGUUCCACAUAGUUCCUCUCCCCAUAACGUUGGAAAAUAAAUUCAUUACUAGUUUCAGCCUGUGAACAUGGCCAUUAUCAGUGGAUUGAGCUAUUUUUUAAAGAUCUAUGGCUGAGUCAGUAACCUGGUUUUCCCUAAUUUGGCAAGACCCUCCUAGAAAACAGAUGUUGUUAUUAGGAAAGUCAAAGCAAGAUUAUCACUUGACAGAUUGAGGCUAGAUCCUCAGCUGCUGCAAAUCAAUAAGGUUCCUUUGAACUCAAGGGAUCUGAUUUACACCAGCUGAGGGCUUGGCUGGACAGGAAAUAAAAAUACAAAAAUGGAGGCAAUGCGAGCAGCUUAUUACAGCUCUUCUUUUAGACAGGCAGUUGAUUGUUAAAACUAAAGAAGAAAAAAAAUUUGGACCUUGAGAAUAUAGAGUACAUAGAAGAUUUUUCUUGGAAAAAGACAACACAGCUGCAGGUCACAGCAAGUUGAAACUAAAAUAAAGAUCAAGAGGUUCAGGCAAGAUAAUUGGCCAACAACUCCACUGAUCUCUGUAUAAUAGAAAACUGAAUGAAGCCAUGUAGUUUACUCCUCUACAGUCAUAUGGCCUCCCUCUACACUCAGAAUCAAUUGUGAAUUCAUCACAACCCAUCAUAGCGUUUGCUUUUGAAUGCAAGAAGGCAGAUACUGUAAAGGAAUACAGAUGGCAAUUGUUUCUUCACAAAACUGGAAGCUUCCUUUGGUCGUCUUAUAGAAUUUAAAUUGCUGUUACUUAUUAAUAUGAUUGAUAAGUACUGUGUGGUUAUGUUCUAAUACAGUUAAUAUUAUACAGAAUAAAUCAGCGCCUUGUUACCCUCCGUGUCAUAGAGUCUAUGAGACAGUGAAAGAAAACAUUCCCUUAGAAACCCUUGGUAUAACUUUAUUCUCACUUUUUCUUGCUAUGCUAUUUUUGAAGGUAUUGAUAUAUUACCUAUGCUAGAUGGUUCUCUUCCUGAUGUAAGAAAAAAAGAUCUACCUAGAUAUCUACCUAUACCAUACCCAUCAUAGCAAUUCUGACACAAGCAUCAGUGGAUUUAUCCUCACAAGACCCCUGUGAGGCAGAGUAUAUCAUCUUCAUCUUACAGGAGGGGCAGGGUCAGAAUCAGAGAAGAAAAGUAUUCUCCCAAAGGUUACACACAGAAUCUGGCUGAAUGAGAAUUGAACUAGAUUCUAGCCUCUAUCCUUGGCAAGACCUUUGAGAAAAUAGUUAAGGAUCACAUUUGUGGGGGACCAGUGGGUAAACUAAUGCUAAGGGGCAAUGAGCAUAGGUUCAUAGCAGGCAGAUCCUGCCUGACUAACACUAACAUGGUUUCUUUUUACGACUGAGUCACAAAAUGCUUGGAUGAAGGAAUAGAGGUAGAUGUUAUUUACUUAGAUUUUAAAAAGGCCUUUGACACAGUGCCAUAUCCAAUUCUUAUGAAUAAACUAAACAGUUGCAAUGUAGAUUAUUACACAGUCUAGGGAGUGGAAAAUUGGCUUAUGGGAUGCACCCAGAGAGUGGUGGUGAAUGGGUUGGUUUCUACCUGGAGAAAUGUGGGCAGUGGAGUCCCCCAAGGCUCUAUCCUGGGACCGGUACUGUUCAACAUCUUCAUUAGUGACCUGGACAAGGGAGUAGAAAGCACCCUGCCCAAGUUUGCAGAUGACACCAAACUAUGGGUGGAGGUAAACAAACUACAGGGCAGGGAGCGAAUCCAGGUGGAUUUGGACAGGCUGGGGAAGUAGACAGAACAAAAUAGGAUGCAGUUUAACAAAGAUAAGUGCCAUGUGUUGCACCUAGGGAGGAAGAAUCAUAAAUUAUCAUCAACACUCCUAUAGCCUGGGAGGUAGCAUUCUAAGUAGCACAACUGCGGAAAGGGAUUUCAGUCAUAGGUGACUCCAAAAUGAACACGAGUCACCAAUGUGAUGAAGUAAUAAGUAAAGAUAACGGUACUCUUUCUUGCAUAAGUAGGUGCAUCACAAACAGAUCUAGGGAGGUGGUACCUCCCCUCUAUGCAGCAUUGGUCAGGUCACCUCUGGAGUACCGCAUCCAGUUUUGCGUGCUGCACUUCAGGAGGAACGUAGAUAACCUGGAAAGGGUUCAGAGGAGGGCCACCCAUCUGGUUAAAGGCUUACAGGGAAAACCCUAUGAGGACCGAUUGAGUGACCUGAACCUCUUCAGCCUCUGAGUUUGUGGCCGUCUACAAACCCAUCAGGAAAUAGGGGAUAUGAUGUUUACCAGGGCACCGAUCAGUGUAACUAGAAAUAAUGGCCACAAACUGAAGGAGAGCAAAUUCAGACUGGACAUCAGAAAAAAGUUCUUUACAGUGAGGGUUGCCAAAAUAUGGAAUAUGCUUCCAAGGGAGGCGGUGCUGUCCACUUCCUUGGAGGUAUUUAAGAAGAGAUUGGACAAACUGGAGAUUGGACAAACCUGGCUAGGGUAUCUGACCCCAGCACUCUUUCCUGCCCAGGGCAGGGGGUUGGACUCGAUAAUCUAAUAUGUCCCUUCCAACCCUAGAAUCUAUGAAAUCUAAGAUCUUCCAUGUACUAGCCAAGAACCUUAACCACAAGGCAAAAUUACCACCAUUCUUCUGCCCCUCUAGAGUAAUCUAAUCCCUUCUGGAAACAUUUGCGGUUUCUUCAGCUGUUACAUGCUUUGCAUCCUGAAAUUCAGUCUUCAAGCUAUCCUUCUACUAAGGAAAUAUUUCCUCCUGGAACUUAUCAAAUAAUGCUCAAGGGGACCAAAAUAACAGAUUCCUGUUCAGGACUGGUUCUAUAUAAAUGCAUCAAGAAGGAGUUUUUGAUACUUAAAGGCCUAGAUUCUUCUAUUAAAAGGUUUCAAUUUAAUAUAUAAUGUGAGUUUUGAGGGGGACCUUUCAAUAAAUAUCCUAAAGAGGUAGGGUUUGUCCAAAUCCCAGUACUUACAUUAAGUACUUACUAACCCUUCUUAAGUCUUAUGUAAAGAAUGUACUUCUAAGUUUUCAUGACUCUUGGGCUUUGUUAAAAACAUAUUGUAUGGUUUUAGUUGUCAUUCAUAUAAUUCCUCAUUCAUUAUAAAAAAAGGUUACCUGUACAAAUCGGUAGUUCUUAUUUUUGUGAAAGUAUACUCAGUGUCUAUGCUCACAAUUGCUUUUUAAUGUAGUAAACUAUGGCUGUUAGCUCUAACAGUUUGAUCUGUGCUGUAACAUGAGACAUUUUCAUAGUGUGUGCACGUGUGUGUGUAUGUGUGUGUGUGUCUGCAUUAUCACUGGGGUUCUUUAGGUUCUUUGGUAGCUGAAUGGUCAGGUGGGAUACUCCCAUGCCUACUUGAAGACAGAGGGAGUAUCCCAACAAGUGCAGAUGCAGGGGCGUGCAUUUCCCAAGGGGCAAAUAUGUGCCAUUGCUAUUUGUUGCCAGGCACACCCCUGCACAUGUGCGCCAGUGCAUGACAAAGUGACCUGGAGGGGGGUCACUACUACAGAUUUAGUGACAAAGAACAUCUCAACAAACAGUGUAGCUUGAGAAAUACAGGUUUGUUCAUGGAGAAUUCACUAUUACAAUAUGCCAUUAGGUGGUACUGUUCUCUUCUGCAGAGUCUACUGGGAUGGCAGUCCAUUUAUUAUUAAUUAUAUAUUCAUCCCUUAAAAUAUUUCACUGACAUAUUUAGAGCUCUUUUCACUGAUCUUGUUCAGUCAGUCUUGUGAUGAUGCCAAAAUAUGCAGUUGGUGCUGCAUACUGUAAUUCAGAAAAAGGUUAUGACAGGAGAUUUAAGGAACAAACUUUUUCCAGACAUCAAGAACAUUGCAUACUGUAUCUCCUG